CCGGGGCCGGCGCGCUUCGGAGUUCCGGGGCUGCGUCGGCACGUGCCGGUGGGCGGUGGAGCGCGGCGAAAAGCCAAGUCGCCUGUCGCGGUCCCAGGUUUUACCAGCGUCCUGGAUUGGAAGCGUGUCCUCUCCUGGGCCACGGCUCCAACGAGGGGCACGCGGGCGGUUGGCUGCCUCCUGCUGCUGUGAGUUGCAGCCCUUAAGAGCUGGGCCCGUGGCCCAAGGGAUGUGGCCAGAGCUCCACGUGGCUCUUACCGGCCUCUACUGCGUGAGCCCUAGGGGGCCGCGCUCCCAGCUGUGCCAUAGCUUUGAGGACUGAGGGAUGCGUGGGAAUUGAAGACAGAAGAACGCAGAUGGAGAUACUAUUGUAGAAUGGGGCUCUUAGGAACAAUGAGGCCUCCUGUGAUUCCCAGGCCGCAGGGCGGAGACACACAAAACCUAAGACUAUACAGCAAGCCCAAGACAGCUGUCUAUGAAGCGGGAAGCUCUCACCAAACACCAAAUCUGCCAGCUCAGUGAUUCUGAACUUCUCAUUCUCCAGAACUGUGAAAAAACUUCUGUUUAUAAGUGA